rnacentral:rRNA from 2 species
AUGGACGCAAGUCUGAUGGAGCAACGCCGCGUGAGUGAAGAAGGCUUUCGGGUCGUAAAACUCUGUUGUUGGAGAAGAAUGGUCGGCAGAGUAACUGUUGCCGGCGUGACGGUAUCCAACCAGAAAGCCACGGCUAACUACGUGCCAGCAGCCGCGGUAAUACGUAGGUGGCAAGCGUUAUCCGGAUUUAUUGGGCGUAAAGCGAGCGCAGGCGGUUUUUUAAGUCUGAUGUGAAAGCCCUCGGCUUAACCGAGGAAGCGCAUCGGAAACUGGGAAACUUGAGUGCAGAAGAGGACAGUGGAACUCCAUGUGUAGCGGUGAAAUGCGUAGAUAUAUGGAAGAACACCAGUGGCGAAGGCGGCUGUCUGGUCUGUAACUGACGCUGAGGCUCGAAAGCAUGGGUAGCGAACAGGAUUAGAUACCCUGGUAGUCCAUGCCGUAAACGAUGAAUGCUAGGUGUUGGAGGGUUUCCGCCCUUCAGUGCCGCAGCUAACGCAUUAAGCAUUCCGCCUGGGGAGUACGACCGCAAGGUUGAAACUCAAAGGAAUUGACGGGGGCCCGCACAAGCGGUGGAGCAUGUGGUUUAAUUCGAAGCAACGCGAAGAACCUUACCAGGUCUUGACAUCUUUUGAUCACCUGAGAGAUCAGGUUUCCCCUUCGGGGGCAAAAUGACAGGUGGUGCAUGGUUGUCGUCAGCUCGUGUCGUGAGAUGUUGGGUUAA